rnacentral:lncRNA from 1 species
UUUCUACUUUAACUUAAUUUAAAAUAUAUUUUAUAUAUUGUUAUUUAAUAAUUUAUAACAAGAGUUUUUCAAGUUAUUUUGAAAAAAUAUUUAAACCGUAUGAGGAAAAAAUAGUUCAUGUGAAAUCUUUAUGUAUUAAUUUAUUUUAAAUUUAUAAGUAUUAUUCUAUUUAAUUUAAAAUGUAAAUGAGAAAUGGGAAAAAGCAGGCUAGAGAAAAGAAGGUAGUGGCUGAAGUUUCAACUAAACGUUGAACUAGAAAUUCAAAUAAACAAACUUUUUUUCUGCACAGAGGCCUUGUUUAUAAAGGUUUUUGUUUAGGAGUUAAAGAGUUGAAAGAAGGUUUUAACCACGAUAAGCCUUCUCGAGACUAUCUUUUAUUAAACAAAGAAGAAAUAAAUGGGUUUAGACUUAAUUUACAGCAUCGACAAGUUUUUGUGAAAGUUUAUUUAAUCAUUCAAGAGGUACUAAAGUGUGCGUUACUGAUGUUGUACAUCCAUCAGGAAUAUUUUCUUCAAAACCAAGUACACAGUCCAACUCAGAAAAUGAUUUGUGUUACUAUAGUUGGACAUCCAUCUGAAAUAUUUUUUUUAGAACCAAAUACUAGACAUGUUAUAAAUGAAUGUACAUAGUUCUAAUAGAAACUAAUUACAGGCUUUUUCACUAAGAAAUCUUGACAAGCCCAAAUAAACUAUUGCUGUCAACAUAAAGAUGAUUGAAGAGACUGAGAAUAACUAUAAGCAUGGAUACAACAGCUCAUAAAAUAUUAGUAACCCUAAUUAAGCUUUCCCUAAGAGAUCCCCAGCUGUCACCACAGCUGGAUAUCUCUUUCUUAUACUUUUGCUUUUUGAUUGAAAAAUAACAUCAACAAAGAUGCUGAUAAUAUUAAGGUUUUUAUUUAAAAUAAGAUCAAACAAAAUAAGAUGAAAAUUCAGUUACACUUUGAUUGAAAGUUAAUCAAGGUUUGCAUAUAUUUAUUUAUAACUAGUAUGUUAAAUAAUAACAAUGAAAAUGUUUUUAUUACAUAUUUAUUUGAUUCCAAAUUAUAAAUGAAUGUUGAUGUAACAGUUGCUAAGAUUUGCAUCCUUGUGAGAGCUGAAGGAACUACUCAUCUACUUAGUGCUCCAUGGGUUCCUUCCCAUACAGGAUUAAAUUGGUUUAGGCUAUCAAGGAGAUUUUGACCGAGUUUGGCAUUGCUGAUUAUCUAAGAAUGGUUUUCUUUGACACUACUGCUACCAAUACUGGAAUAAUUUGUUGUGCUAAAUGAAGGUAAACAAUUUUUUUUAAUAAUUCAACAAAAGAACUCUGAGAGCUAAUACAACAAACGAUUCAUUAAUGGCUUCAAUUUUAUUAGAUUGAGUUUUAGAUAUAUUCUUGGAACAUUAUCAGUCAGCAGUUACCAUAGGUCAGUAGACCUGGCAAUGUACUUUUGUUGAUGUUGAUAAUGACACAGUUUAUUGAUCACUUCAAUUCGCAACAGAUUUGUCAUUCUUAGUUUAAAGAACAUGCAGAUGAGGCAAGAAAUCUUUUAAUAACACUUGUUAAUGAAGGUGUUUUCAAAUAUUUUCAGGAACCAACAAUCAAGCAUCUCAACAUUCACAAGCCUGGGGCAGUAAACCAUACACGUUUUAUGGCAGUAAGUAUUUACUGAUCUGAAGAGUUCGCAAUGUCAUGCUUCCUUAUAAUUUGACAAAGCAAAUCCUGAACUUGAGACAAAAGGAAGAUAAAGAAUGU